AGUGAACGCUGGCGGUAGGCCUAACACAUGCAAGUCGAACGGCAGCACAGUAAGAGCUUGCUCUUACGGGUGGCGAGUGGCGGACGGGUGAGGAAUACAUCGGAAUCUACUUUUUCGUGGGGGAUAACGUAGGGAAACUUACGCUAAUACCGCAUACGACCUACGGGUGAAAGCAGGGGAUCUUCGGACCUUGCGCGAUUGAAUGAGCCGAUGUCGGAUUAGCUAGUUGGCGGGGUAAAGGCCCACCAAGGCGACGAUCCGUAGCUGGUCUGAGAGGAUGACCGGCCCCCCUGGAACUGAGACACGGCCAGGCCCCCAAGGGGAGGCAAGGAGGGGGAAGUUUGGACAAGGGGCGGAAGCCAGACCCAGCCAACCGGGGUGGGGAAAGAGGGCCUUGGGGUUGUAAAGCCCUUUUGUUGGGAAAGAAAAGAGGCAGGUUAAUCCCCCGCUGUUUUACGGGUCCCCAAAAAAAAGGCCCCGGCAAACUUGGU
rnacentral:rRNA from 1 species